AGUGAACGCUGGCGGUAGGCCUAACACAUGCAAGUCGAACGGCAGCACAGUAAGAGCUUGCUCUUACGGGUGGCGAGUGGCGGACGGGUGAGGAAUACAUCGGAAUCUACUUUUUCGUGGAGGAUAACGUAGGGAAACUUACGCUAAUACCGCAUACGACCUACGGGUGAAAGCAGGGGAUCUUCGGACCUUGCGCGAUUGAAUGAGCCGAUGUCGGAUUAGCUAGUUGGCGGGGUAAAGGCCCACCAAGGCGACGAUCCGUAGCUGGUCUGAGAGGAUGAUCAGCCACACUGGAACUGAGACACGGUCCAGACUCCUACGGGAGGCAGCAGUGGGGAAUAUUGGACAAUGGGCGCAAGCCUGAUCCAGCCAUACCGCGUGGGUGAAGAAGGCCUUCGGGUUGUAAAGACCUUUUGUUGGGAAAGAAAAGCAGCAGGUUAAUACCCCGCUGUUCUGACGGUAACCAAAGAAUAAGCACCGGCUAACUUCGUG
rnacentral:rRNA from 1 species